rnacentral:lncRNA from 1 species
CCUGAUACAGUCCCAAAUAAUAUUUCCUCCACCUCUGUCGGCCCUUCCAAUUCACCACCGCAAAACCGCCCACCCAUUAAACGAUUAUCCCAUGCUGAACUUCAGAGCCGUCGAGAGCGGGGUCUUUGUUAUUAUUGUGAGGAAAAGUAUACCGCAGGUCAUAAGUGUAAAUCGCCUCCUCAAUUAUUGCUCCUCACCAAUGAGCCGGAGGUGGUUUUAUCCAUGCCGGAACCCUUCCUCUCUGAUGAAGUAUUGGCAGAGGAGUUGCAAUGUUUGGAGAUACAGGAACAUUCUACUAUCUCGUAUCACGCUUUAACUGGUGGUCAUUCCCCAUCUACACUCCGAUUCACUGGGCAGAUUAAUGGCUCCUCUGUUCAGGUCUUAGUGGAUGGAGGAAGUACCCACAACUUCGUCCAACUGCGAGCCGCGAAGUACUUACAACUGUUUGUGGACUCCAUUUCCCCUGUCGCUGUUAUGGUGGGUAGCGGCCAUCGCCUUAGGUGUGAGGGAGUGGCAAGGCAGACCACCCUUUUACUUCAAGGGAGCACGGUGGUAGAAGAUUUUUAUGUCCUACCAUUCGAGGGGUCUGAUGUGGUAUUAGGGGUAUCAUGGCUCGCCAAAUUAGGUCCUGUACUUACUAAUUAUGCCACUAGGGAAUUUGAGUUCAACUGGAAUGGGUGUCGAGUGAAGUGGCAAGGGGAACCCUCUAUUGAUAUUCAACCGAUACAGUUACAUAGCUUGCGAAGGAUGGCUGCCACCGACGCUAUUGCUUCAUUCUUUCAUCUGGAAAUGCUUUGUGGGGAGGUAGCAUCCGUGGUGGCACCCACUGCAGAGUUAGCGUCCCUUUUGGACUCUUUUGAGGAUGUUUUUCAAAAAACAGUGGGCUUACCACCCUCACGUGCCCAAGAUCAUGCUAUACAUCUCAUUCCGGGCGCGCAACCUGUUAAUGUGAAGCCCUACAGGUACCCCUAUUUUCAAAAGCAAAUUAUGGAACAACUAGUUGCCGAUAUGCUCAAGGAAGGUGUGAUUCGAGCAAGCGCUAGCCCUUUCUCUUCUCCAGUGCUGCUGGUCCGUAAGAAGGAUGGCACAUGGCGAUUUUGUGUCGACUAUAGAGCAUUGAAUGCACUGACCAUCCGUGAUCGCUUUCCAAUCCCUACCAUAGACGAAUUGUUUGAUGAGUUAUUUGGGGCACAAUUUUUUUCCAAGCUGGACCUUCUUUCUGGGUAUCACCAGAUAAGAGUUAAGCCCGAAGAUGUGGCUAAGACCGCAUUUCACACUCAUGAAGGUCAUUACGAAUUCCUCGUCAUGCCCUUUGGCCUUACUAACGCCCCCUCUACAUUCCAGGCGCUAAUGAAUGACAUUUUCAGACCAUGUUUACGGCGCUUUGUCUUAGUAUUUUUCGAUGAUAUAUUGGUCUAUAGUCCAGAUUGGGAGGCACAUCUGGAGCAUUUGGAACUUGUUCUGUCCUUGCUUCGAAAGUAUCAGUUGGUCGCCAAAAGAUCUAAGUGUCUAUUUGGUCAGCAGUCGGUGGAUUAUUUGGGGCACGUUAUUUAUGCUCAAGGGUUGUCUGUUGAUCCUGCCAAGAUUGCUGCAAUUCAGCAAUGGCCUAUCCCUCGCUCUGUAAAAGAUGUCCGUAGUUUUUUGGGAUUAGCCGGGUAUUACCGGCGUUACAUUCAUCAUUAUGCCGCGAUUGCCGGGCCACUUUCAGACCUAUUGCGGAAAGACUCUUUCAAAUGGAGCGAGGCAGCACAAGAAGCUUUCGAUGCAUUGAAGUCUAAGUUGGCUGCGACACCUGUUUUGACUUUGCCGAAUUUCAACCAGGAAUUCCAAUAGAGACAGAUUCUUCGGGGCAAGGCAUUGGGGCUAUCUUAUCACAAAAGGGUCAUCCUAUAGCCUAUUUCAGCCAGAAGUUGUGUCCAUGAAUGCAAAAUGUCUCGACUUAUCACAGAGAAAUGUUUUCCAUUACUCAAGCUGUGAGUAAAUGGCGACAGUAUUUGUUGUGGAGAAAAUUUACCAUUUAUACGGAUCAACAGUCCUUGAAGAAUCUCACAAAUCAGACCAUUCAAACACCUGAACAAUAGAAAUGGCUCACAAAGUUGGUGGGCUAUGAUUUUCGCAUCGUGUGUCGGCCCGACAAGCAAAACAUUGUAGCUGAUGCCCUGUCUCGUACCCCUGCUGCUUCUUUAAUGGUUCUGUCUGUCAACACCUUCGCAAUCGAACAAGAAUUGAAAGCUCUAAAUCAGUCCCACCCUGAGUUAUUAGAUAUACAGCAGCGUUUACAGCAAAAAGAUGUGAACUUCUGCGAGUAUCAAUGGAAAUAAGGUCAUCUGUUUUACAAAGGAAGAUUGGUGGUUCCUUCAGAUUCACCACUCCGCCAUAAGCUCAUGUUCGAUUUCACUCUUCAUCCAUUGGCGGCCAUGCUGGGGUAGCCCGAACCUAUCACCACUUAGCUUCCAAUUUCUUUUGGAACCACAUGCGACGAGAUGUUAAAUCCUUUGUAGCUGCAUGCCAAGUUUGUAAGCAGAUGAAGGAUACUCAUUUGCAUUCAGCGGGGUUGUUACAACCCCUUCCUAUUCCUGACCAAGUGUUUGAGGAUAUUGCAAUGGAUUUUAUCACUUGUCUUCCAAGUUCGAAAGGGAAGACUACAAUCAUGACAAUAAUUGAUCGUUUAUCCAAAUAUGGGCACUUUAUUCCAUUGCCAUCUACAUUCUCUACUCAAUUGGUUGCAGAAGCUUUUGUCGUGGGUGUAAUUCAGCUUCACGGUCCACCAAGAACUAUUGUAACUGACCGAGACCCUAGGUUCUUACACUCUUUUUGGCAAGAGCUCAAUCGCUUACAGGGAUCUACUUUGGCUAUGAGUACUGCCUAUCAUCCCCAAUCGGAUGGGCAGUCUGAAGCUCUAAACAAAUGUGUCGAGCAGUACCUCCGCUGCUAUGUUGCUGUUGUUCCUUCGCAAUGGGUAGCUAUGCUGCCGUGGGCUGAAUAUUGGUACAACACAGCCUACCAAACAUCAGCAGGGAUGACUCCGUUCCAUGCCUUGUAUGGUCGUGAACCCCCGACUAUUGCCCGUUAUAUACUAGGCAGCACUGCUAGCGGGUUGGUGGAGACUUAUUUGCUACAACGGGAUGAAGUGCUGCAGUUGCUCAAGCACAACUUGGCCAAGGCGCAAACACGCAUGAAAACUCUAGCUGACAAGUCGAGGACUGAGGUUGCCUUUGAGAUUGGGGAUUGGGUUUACGUCAAAUUAAAACCCUAUAGGCAGGUAUCCCUUCGUUUGCAAAAGGAUCACAAAUUAGGUAGACGAUACUUUGGUCCUUUCCAGGUCCUCAAAAGGAUCGGCUUAGUGGCAUAUAAGUUGGAGCUUCCAGAGGCGGCUAAGAUUCACCCUGUUUUUCAUGUCUCUACUAUGCUCAAGCGAUAUGUGGGAAGCCCAGACCAACAAAUUAUGCCGCUAAAUCUGUUUGAUUUCGCCAAUGACUCUUCCCAGCUCGAUCCAAACCUUGAGGACAAGGUUGUUUUUCAGGGAGAGAGUAAUGUUGUGAAUACAAACACGUUGGCAGCUGACAAAGAUGACAGGGAGGAUGCCACUAGUGACCAUCACAUGGAUCUGCCACGUAGGAGUUUUAGAACAGUAAUUCCUCCGGUUAAACUUGGGGAUUACGUUUGGAAAGGAGGAGGGGCACAUAAGUAAAAUGACAGAGUUUGUUAGAAAGAUAAAAGCAACAGUAGUGCGGCAUUGCGAGGCAGGCAAAAAUGUUAUGAGUGAUUUCUGGUUUUCUCAUCCCUUUCUUCUGUUUCCUCAUCUCCUUCCUCUACCUAUCUUAG